rnacentral:rRNA from 1 species
AACGAACGCUGGCGGCAGGCCUAAUACAUGCAAGUCGAACGGGCGUAGCAAUACGUCAGUGGCGGACGGGUGAGUAACACGUGGGAACAUGCCUUUCGGUUCGGAAUAACGCAGGGAAACUUGCGCUAAUACCGGAUGACCCGGCGACGGAAAAGAUUUAUCGCCGAAAGAUUGGCCCGCGUAGGAUUAGCUAGUUGGUGAGGUAACGGCCCACCAAGGCGACGAUCCUUAGCUGGUUUGAGAGAACGAUCAGCCACACUGGGACUGAGACACGGCCCAGACUCCUACGGGAGGCAGCAGUAGGGAAUCUUGGACAAUGGGGGAACCCGUAGAUCCAGCCAUGCCGCGUGAGUGAUGAAGGCC